GGCAAAGUGGUACCAGACCUGACAACCUCACUGCAACAAGAAGACACGACAAACACGCAUGUGUUUGUAUUUAAUCUGGCUCCGGGUUGGCUGUUGCCCAGAAGCCCAGCCGGUGAACCGCGGAGAAAGCGCAUUGAUUUCAUCCCAGCAGAAAUCCCUUCUCCCGGUACCCGCCUCUCUACCCCGCCCCGCACCUGAUUAAGCAUUUGCAGGGAGCCAUGCCAACACAAUUUGUCAUUUAUCAAAAGUAAUUAAAAGCAAUUUCUUUUCUCUU